UACGGGGGGGGUAAGCGUUGUUCGGAAUUACUGGGCGUAAAGGGCUCGUAGGCGGCCAACUAAGUCAGACGUGAAAUCCCUCAGCUUAACUGGGGAACUGCGUCUGAUACUGGAUGGCUUGGAUCCGGGAGAGGGAUGCGGAAUUCCUGGUGUAGCGGUGAAAUGCGCAGAUAUCAGGAGGAACACCGGUGGCGAAGGCGGUUCUCUGGGCCAGUACUGACGCUGAGGAGCGAAAGCGUGGGUAGCAAACAGG
rnacentral:rRNA from 1 species